rnacentral:rRNA from 1 species
UACAGAGGUCUCAAGCGUUGUUCGGAUUCAUUGGGCGUAAAGGGUGCGUAGGUGGCGUGGUAAGUCGGGUGUGAAAUUUCGGAGCUUAACUCCGAAACUGCAUUCGAUACUGCCGUGCUUGAGGACUGGAGAGGAGACUGGAGUUUACGGUGUAGCAGUGAAAUGCGUAGAGAUCGUAAGGAAGACCAGUGGCGAAGGCGGGUCUCUGGACAGUUCCUGACACUGAGGCACGAAGGCCAGGGGAGCAAACGGG